AGCAGUAGCCACGGGAAUACGUAGGGUGCGAGCGUUAUCCGGAAUUACUGGGCGUAAAGCGUGCGCAGGCGGUUUUGUAAGACAGGCGUGAAAUCCCCGGGCUCAACCUGGGAAUGGCGCUUGUGUCUGCAAAGCUAGAGUGCGGCAGAGGGGGAUGGAAUUCCGCGUGUAGCAGUGAAAUGCGUAGAUAUGCGGAGGAACACCGAUGGCGAAGGCAAUCCCCUGGGCCUGCACUGACGCUCAUGCACGAAAGCGUGGGGAGCAAACAGGAUUAGAUACCCCUGUAGUCCCUGUCUCUUAUAC
rnacentral:rRNA from 1 species